rnacentral:rRNA from 1 species
AAGUUUUAGUGACUGAGUGGCGGACGGGUGAGUAACGCGUGGGUAACCUGCCUCACACAGGGGGAUAACAGUUGGAAACGGCUGCUAAUACCGCAUAAGCGCACAGUACCGCAUGGUACAGUGUGAAAAACUCCGGUGGUGUGAGAUGGACCCGCGUCUGAUUAGCUAGUUGGCAGGGCAACGGCCUACCAAGGCGACGAUCAGUAGCCGACCUGAGAGGGUGACCGGCCACAUUGGGACUGAGACACGGCCCAAACUCCUACGGGAGGCAGCAGUGGGGAAUAUUGCACAAUGGGGGGAACCCUGAUGCAGCGACGCCGCGUGAGCGAAGAAGUAUUUCGGUAUGUAAAGCUCUAUCAGCAGGGAAGAAGAAAUGACGGUACCUGACUAAGAAGCACCGGCUAAAUACGUGCCAGCAGCCGCGGUAAUACGUAUGGUGCAAGCGUUAUCCGGAUUUACUGGGUGUAAAGGGAGCGCAGGCGGAAGGCUAAGUCUGAUGUGAAAGCCCGGGGCUCAACCCCGGUACUGCAUUGGAAACUGGUCAUCUAGAGUGUCGGAGGGGUAAGUGGAAUUCCUAGUGUAGCGGUGAAAUGCGUAGAUAUUAGGAGGAACACCAGUGGCGAAGGCGGCUUACUGGA